rnacentral:lncRNA from 1 species
UUGUUUUUAAAGUAUUUCUAAUCCUACAAAAUAAUAAUAUAAAAACAUAAAUAAAAAACUAUUAUAUAGAAAUAAAAAAAUAAAUUUUAAAAUGAAAAUGUACCAAACUUAUGCUAAUUAAUUAAUAAGAGAUAUAUUGAUAAAUAUGUAUAUAUGGCAGAGAUAUGUAGGUCUUGAAAAAAUAAUUUUUUGCUUCUAUUUUUUUUGUAGAAAUAAUUGUCAGAAACACACCUAAAUUAUUUCUUUUUUGAGUUUCAUACUUAAACUAUUGAGAGUGUGAGUUUCAUACCUAAACUAACUUAUUAGUUUGAGAAACACACCUUAGUGGUGUGUAAUACACUCUCUCUUUUUGGAAAAAAC